GGGCCUGUGAUUACCUUGGCCAGUGCAUUUGAAACAGAGAGAAUAAGGAGGAGGAUGGGACCAGAGAGGGAGGAAGGACCGGACCUCACAGGACUUUAUGGGCCAUGCUAAUAAGAGUUUGGUCUUUAUUGCAAGAGCCACUGGAAGCUGUUGAGAGAUUUCAGCAGGUUCACAAGACUUCUUCUAAUGGUUCUCUACCACCUCAGGAUGAAGUCAUAGCAACAGCCAACUUCCUGGACCUUGUAAGAUAAG
ensembl:lncRNA